GGUGUGGUUCUUGGUAAGAAGGAAUAAGUAAGCACACUCCACCUUAUCUCUCCCACUGAAUGAAGCCAUAAAACCUGGACAGAAUGCAUGGA